GAUGAACGCUGGCGGCGUGCCUAAUACAUGCAAGUCGAGCGAACGGACGAGAAGCUUGCUUCUCUGAUGUUAGCGGCGGACGGGUGAGUAACACGUGGAUAACCUACCUAUAAGACUGGGAUAACUUCGGGAAACCGGAGCUAAUACCGGAUAAUAUUUUGAACCGCAUGGUUCAAAAGUGAAAGACGGUCUUGCUGUCUCUUAUAGAUGGAUCCGCGCUGCAUUAGCUAGUUGGUAAGGUAACGGCUUACCAAGGCAACGAUGCAUAGCCGACCUGAGAGGGUGAUCGGCCACACUGGAACUGAGACACGGUCCAGACUCCUACGGGAGGCAGCAGUAGGGAAUCUUCCGCAAUGGGCGAAAGCAUGACGGAGCAACGCCGCGUGAGUGAUGAAGGUCUUCGGAUCGUAAAACUCUGUUAUUAGGGAAGAACAUAUGUGUAAGUAACUGUGCACAUCUUGACGGUACCUAAUCAGAAAGCCACGGCUAACUACGUG
rnacentral:rRNA from 1 species